CGGCAGUGACCUGCAACUAUGGGAACGGUGGCUGCCAGCACACCUGCGAUGACACCGACCAGGGCCCCAAAUGUGGCUGCCACGUCAAGUUCCUGCUGCACUCCGACGGCGUGACCUGCAUCGAAACGUGUGCCGUGAACAACGGAGGCUGCGACAGCAAGUGUCACGACGCGGCCACGG
rnacentral:lncRNA from 1 species